UACGAAGGGGGCUAGCGUUGCUCGGAAUGACUGGGCGUAAAGGGCGCGUAGGCGGCUUGCACCGUCAGAUGUGAAAUUCCUGGGCUUAACCUGGGGGCUGCAUUUGAUACGUGUGGGCUUGAGUGCGGAAGAGGGUCGUGGAAUUCCCAGUGUAGAGGUGAAAUUCGUAGAUAUUGGGAAGAACACCGGUGGCGAAGGCGGCAUCCUGGACUGGUCCUGACACUCAUGAGCGAAAGCGUGGGGAGCGAUCCGG
rnacentral:rRNA from 1 species